rnacentral:rRNA from 1 species
GACGAACGCUGGCGGCGUGCUUAAUACAUGCAAGUCGAACGGAAAGGCCCUGCUUUUGUGGGGUGCUCGAGUGGCGAACGGGUGAGUAACACGUGAGUAACCUGCCCCUGACUUUGGGAUAACUUCAGGAAACUGGGGCUAAUACCGGAUAGGAGCUCCUGCUGCAUGGUGGGGGUUGGAAAGUUUCGGCGGUUGGGGAUGGACUCGCGGCUUAUCAGCUUGUUGGUGGGGUAGUGGCUUACCAAGGCUUUGACGGGUAGCCGGCCUGAGAGGGUGACCGGCCACAUUGGGACUGAGAUACGGCCCAGACUCCUACGGGAGGCAGCAGUGGGGAAUAUUGCACAAUGGGCGGAAGCCUGAUGCAGCAACGCCGCGUGCGGGAUGACGGCCUUCGGGUUGUAAACCGCUUUCGCCUGUGACGAAGCGUGAGUGACGGUAAUGGGUAAAGAAGCACCGGCUAACUACGUG